ACUUCUUUAAUUGGUUUCUAUAAGUCAAAUAUUUUAACUUAAAAUUGACCCAGUGCUUCACAAUUGCACAACUAGGGGGGAAGCAAUUGAAGAGAUUUCCAAUGAAAAUCGCACCGUUGUUACAUUAAAAUGCUUUCAACACUGCCUACUGGAAAAUGCCAAUAUCAUUUCCAAUGGUAAGAUCGUCAUUUCUGAUCUUUCAACAAUGAAUAUAACAUCAGAUAGCAUUGAAAGGGCGAUGUUGUGCCUGGAUAUAAAGGAUGACAACAGAUGUGAGCUGGGCCACAAGCUAUUAAAUGCCUUCAAGAGCCUAUUAAAUAAGUUUCACCAGACCCAAAA